UACGGGAGGCAGCAGUGGGGAAUCUUCCGCAAUGGGCGAAAGCCUGACGGAGCAACGCCGCGUGAGUGAAGAAGGCCUUCGGGUCGUAAAGCUCUGUCUUAAGGGAAGAACAUCUGUAGUGAGAACAUUGCUAUGGACUGACGGUACCUUAGGAGGAAGCUCCGGCUAACUACGUGCCAGCAGCCGCGGUAAU
rnacentral:rRNA from 1 species